rnacentral:rRNA from 1 species
UACAUGGGGUGCAAACGUUGCUCGGAAUUAUUGGGCGUAAAGCGCGCGUAGGCGGUUACUUAAGUCGGAUGUGAAAGCCCUCGGCUUAACUGAGGAAGUGCACCCGAAACUGAGUAGCUGGAGUACGAAAGAGGGUCGCGGAAUUCCCGGUGUAGAGGUGAAAUUCGUAGAUAUCGGGAGGAACACCGGUGGCGAAGGCGGCGACCUGGGUAGAUACUGACGCUGAGGUGCGAAAGCGUGGGGAGCAAACAGG